rnacentral:misc_RNA from 1 species
AAAACACCCGUGAUGGCGACUGAAGGACAAACAAUGGGUAAAUGUGUUGCUUUCAAUUGUCCGAUAUGUCUAGAGCAGAUAAUAAAACCAAACUUUUUCCUAGUUCACAAACAUUCUGCGGGACAUGUCUGUAGAUCUACAUUUCUAGAGACGCUAUUGGAAAAGAAAAUAAUAGCUUUGAUUUCAAAUGCCCGAUCUGUAGGCUAGUGACGUGAUGUGCUCUCCCGAGAAGGAUAUCUUCGUGGAGAAAUGGGCUAAAUAUUUUCCCGCCAAAAGUUUUCUAACUUCACUGAAUAUAUCGAUGACAGCAAAUCCUAUUGGAAAAUAUUGUGCAGUAUGUUUACGAAAUGACAAGCAAGUUAAAGCUGAGAGUUGAUGUCACGACUGUUGCAAGCUGAUAUGCAAGACAUUUUAAAGUCUUCAUAAAAGUUUUGUGAGCCUCAAAAAGCAUAAAAUAUCAACAGUUGCCGCUAUGCACGACAAGAGAAAAGACCGUAAGUUCCAAACGUGGACGAGCCCUGCUGGUCGCAUGUAGGUAAAUUUGAAGAAGUAUUUUGUUUAGAUCAUGACAAGCUGUGCUGCAGCGUAUGCUUUGCGACACAGCAUAGGCAUUGUAAGCGCGUGGAAGCAUUAGAAUAUAUCGCUGAAGGAAUGCCAAAGUCAAUAACGACUGGAACAUUGAGGUUCUUAUUAAAAUAGCCCAAAUAAAUUUAGAAACAAUAAAAUAUAAGGAACAGACAAUCAAAGAAACUAAUGCAAGAAAGGAAGAUACUGACCAAUGUUAAUGCUGAAAUUGAAAACCUCAAACCAAACUUGAUGAAUGUCAAUAACAGUUUGAGAAGACGUUCUUAAAAACACACGAGGAAGACGAAGAGAAACUAGUGCAGUGUGUCCUAGAUUUAAAACAAUACAGGUCUACUAGUUGUAAGAGGCUCUUCUCUCUGCUAUUCAACAAAAGGGUUCUACAAAGCAGAAGUUUAUCAUUGCCAUGAAAAUAAUCAAUGACAUAGAACAUCAGUUCCAACAAUUCAAAGCUUACUUCUCAGAAGAUGAAGAGAUUCAGUAUGAACAUGACCACACAACCAUACCGAAGCAAGUGUGUACCCAGGACAAGAUAGAAGAUGCCACAGAGGUAUGAAGACCAUAAGGAACUAUAUGGGAGUUAUCGAUGCACUUGCAAUCUUUUAGAGUCAUUGACAGCAUAGAACAAAAAGAACUAUCUACAUUUUUUUCAGAAUUUGCCAGAUCCAAAUUCACUAAAGGCGGAGGAAAUUUCGUAGUUUAAGAUCUCUGGGUCAGCACACCAAGGUGUUUAUGUAAAUAGUGAAACAUCUAUGAUUGUCCGCUCAUCUCCACUUUCUUUGAAAGCUGUUUCAAUGGACGGAACAGUGAAGUCAUUUGCAUAUUAUAUAGAAUUAAAAGGAAAGCCUUGUCUCUAUAAAAGUAUUACCAAAAAUGUGUUGUAUGUUGGUUGUUCGCCCAGAAUUUCACACUAAAGAUUAAAGAAAGAAAACCUAAUGAGCCUACUACUUCAUGUCUUGCAGAGGUCAAUGUUAACGAAAAUUUCGAAGCGUGUUGUGUCGAAGAAGAGCAAAACAAAAUUGUAGUUGCAAUAAAUGCUAAAAUAACAACAUUUACUCUUUCUCCAUUUCGUCAAGUUCAAACAGCAACAAUUCAAAGUUCGGCCGCUAUACCUUACCCUCAAUGGCUGUAAUACAAGACCGAUUUACUUUAAUUCAAGGAAACAAGAUGAUUUGCUUUUCAGUUUCUGGUCAAGAACUGUUCCGAUAUCAGAUCGAUGUCCCUUGUGCAACAAAUAUUACUUGUGUUGCGUUUGACCCUUUAAAAAUAUUAAUGCAGUGUAUUCAAACCGUCGUCAGUGAUGCGAUAAUCCUUUAAUCCCAGCUUAUGUUCCCAAUCAGUAUAAUAUCGAAGUGUUUGUCAAUAUUGUGACCAUGAUUAGGAGGCACACACCAAGGUUGGCGGAGUGUAUUAAACCGAUGGUCGCAGUGGUCGGUUUUUGAUUCCAAACGUUCCAAACACGUGAAUGUUUUUUUGUUGUUUUAAUGACUUUUCCAAAGAGCGUGUUAAUAGAUAUACUAUCUACAGGCUCUUUUAUGUGACUUACUCUGUUGUUUGAAAUCAAACAGGUGUAUUCAAUGUAAUAAUUUAAAUAUAUUUGUUGUGUGUAUGUUUCAUUUAUAGAGAAAAGUGUACCUUUUAAAUUCCUUUGAUGUUUACAAAAUAAAUCAUGAUUUUGAACAUGU